UGGGGAAUAUUGGACAAUGGGCGCAAGCCUGAUCCAGCCAUGCCGCGUGAGUGAUGAAGGCCUUAGGGUUGUAAAGCUCUUUCGCCGGUGAAGAUAAUGACGGUAACCGGAGAAGAAGCCCCGGCUAACUUCGUGCCAGCAGCCGCGGUAAUACGAAGGGGGCUAGCGUUGCUCGGAAUCACUGGGCGUAAAGCGCACGUAGGCGGAUCGUUAAGUCAGGGGUGAAAUCCUGGAGCUCAACUCCAGAACUGCCCUUGAUACUGGCGAUCUCGAGUUCGAGAGAGGUUGGUGGAACUCCGAGUGUAGAGGUGAAAUUCGUAGAUAUUCGGAAGAACACCAGUGGCGAAGGCGGCCAACUGGCUCGAUACUGACGCUGAGGUGCGAAAGCGUGGGGAGCAAAACAGGAUUAGAUACCCUGGUAGUCCACGCCGUAAAACGAUGGAUGCUAGCCGUUGGGGGGUUUACCUCUCAGUGGCGCAGCUAACGCCUUAAGCAUCCCGCCUGGGGAGUACGGUCGCAAGAUUAAAAACUCAAAUGAAUUGAC
rnacentral:rRNA from 1 species